rnacentral:rRNA from 1 species
UGCGUAGGUGGUGAGGAAAGUCUGAUGUGAAAGCUCGGAGCUUAACUCCGAAAUGGCAUUGGAAACUACCUUGCUGGAGGGGUUGGGAGGGGGGACUGGAAUACUUGGUGUAGCAGUGAAAUGCGUAGAUAUCAAGUGGAACACCAGUGGCGAAGGCGAGUCCCUGGACAACACCUGACACUGAGGCACGAAAGCUAGGGAGGCAAACG